rnacentral:piRNA from 1 species
UUAAUCAAUCAAUUUACUAUA